rnacentral:tRNA from 1 species
CGCGGAGUGGAGCAGUCCGGUAGCUCGUCGGGCUCAUAACCCGAAGGUCGUAGGUUCAAAUCCUGCCUCCGCCACCA